rnacentral:rRNA from 1 species
UACGUAGGGCGCAAGCGUUGUCCGGAAUUAUUGGGCGUAAAGAGCUCGUAGGCGGUCUGUUCGCGUCUGCCGUGAAAACCCGAGGCUUAACCUCGGGCUGGCGGUGGAUACGGGCAGACUAGAGGUAGGUAGGGGAGAAUGGAAUUCCCGGUGUAGCGGUGAAAUGCGCAGAUAUCGGGAAGAACACCAGUGGCGAAGGCGUUCUGCUGGGCCGUUGCUGACACUGAGGCGCGACAGCGUGGGGAGCAAACAGG